rnacentral:rRNA from 1 species
UUUAUGGAGAGUUUGAUCCUGGCUCAGGAUGAACGCUGGCGGCGUGCCUAAUACAUGCAAGUCGAGCGAACGGACGAGAAGCUUGCUUCUCUGAUGUUAGCGGCGGACGGGUGAGUAACACGUGGAUAACCUACCUAUAAGACUGGGAUAACUUCGGGAAACCGGAGCUAAUACCGGAUAAUAUUUUGAACCGCAUGGUUCAAAAGUGAAAGACGGUCUUGCUGUCACUUAUAGAUGGAUCCGCGCUGCAUUAGCUAGUUGGUAAGGUAACGGCUUACCAAGGCAACGAUGCAUAGCCGACCUGAGAGGGUGAUCGGCCACACUGGAACUGAGACACGGUCCAGACUCCUACGGGAGGCAGCAGUAGGGAAUCUUCCGCAAUGGGCGAAAGCCUGACGGAGCAACGCCGCGUGAGUGAUGAAGGUCUUCGGAUCGUAAAACUCUGUUAUUAGGGAAGAACAUAUGUGUAAGUAACUGUGCACAUCUUGACGGUACCUAAUCAGAAAGCCACGGCUAACUACGUGCCAGCAGCCGCGGUAAUACGUAGGUGGCAAGCGUUAUCCGGAAUUAUUGGGCGUAAAGCGCGCGUAGGCGGUUUUUUAAGUCUGAUGUGAAAGCCCACGGCUCAACCGUGGAGGGUCAUUGGAAACUGGAAAACUUGAGUGCAGAAGAGGAAAGUGGAAUUCCAUGUGUAGCGGUGAAAUGCGCAGAGAUAUGGAGGAACACCAGUGGCGAAGGCGACUUUCUGGUCUGUAACUGACGCUGAUGUGCGAAAGCGUGGGGAUCAAACAGGAUUAGAUACCCUGGUAGUCCACGCCGUAAACGAUGAGUGCUAAGUGUUAGGGGGUUUCCCGCCCCUUAGUGCUGCAGCUAACGCAUUAAGCACUCCGCCUGGGGAGUACGACCGCAAGGUUGAAACUCAAAGGAAUUGACGGGGACCCGCACAAGCGGUGGAGCAUGUGGUUUAAUUCGAAGCAACGCGAAGAACCUUACCAAAUCUUGACAUCCUUUGACAACUCUAGAGAUAGAGCUUUCCCCUUCGGGGGACAAAGUGACAGGUGGUGCAUGGUUGUCGUCAGCUCGUGUCGUGAGAUGUUGGGUUAAGUCCCGCAACGAGCGCAACCCUUAAGCUUAGUUGCCAUCAUUAAGUUGGGCACUCUAAGUUGACUGCCGGUGACAAACCGGAGGAAGGUGGGGAUGACGUCAAAUCAUCAUGCCCCUUAUGAUUUGGGCUACACACGUGCUACAAUGGACAAUACAAAGGGCAGCGAAACCGCGAGGUCAAGCAAAUCCCAUAAAGUUGUUCUCAGUUCGGAUUGUAGUCUGCAACUCGACUACAUGAAGCUGGAAUCGCUAGUAAUCGUAGAUCAGCAUGCUACGGUGAAUACGUUCCCGGGUCUUGUACACACCGCCCGUCACACCACGAGAGUUUGUAACACCCGAAGCCGGUGGAGUAACCUUUUAGGAGCUAGCCGUCGAAGGUGGGACAAAUGAUUGGGGUGAAGUCGUAACAAGGUAGCCGUAUCGGAAGGUGCGGCUGGAUCACCUCCUUUCU